UACGAAGGGGGCUAGCGUUGUUUGGAAUUACUGGGCGUAAAGCGCACGUAGGCGGAUAUUUAAGUCAGGGGUGAAAUCCCAGAGCUCAACUCCUGGAACUGCCUUUGAUACUGGGUAUCUUGAGUAUGGAAGAGGUAAGUGGAAUUGCGAGUGUAGAGGUGAAUUCGUAGAUAUUCGGAAGAACACCAGUGGCGAAGGCGACUCACUGGACAGUGUAUUGACGCUGAGGUGCGAAAGCGUGGGGAGCAACAGG
rnacentral:rRNA from 1 species